rnacentral:rRNA from 1 species
CCUGAUCCAGCGACGCCGCGUGGGUGAUGAAGGCCUUCGGGUCGUAAAGCCCUGUGGGCAGGAAAGAAACGGUCACGGCGAACAGGCGUGGCCCUUGACGGUACCUGCUCAGAAAGCACCGGCUAACUCUGUGCCAGCAGCCGCGGUAAGACAGAGGGUGCAAACGUUGCUCGGAAUUACUGGGCGUAAAGCGCGUGUAGGCGGACCGGAAAGUCGGGCGUGAAAUCCCUGGGCUCAACCCAGGAACUGCACUCGAAACUUCCGGCCUUGAGUGGUGGAGAGGGUAGUGGAAUUCCUGGUGUAGAGGUGAAAUUCGUAGAUAUCAGGAGGAACACCGGUGGCGAAGGCGGCUACCUGGACACCAACUGACGCUGAGACGCGAAAGCGUGGGGAGCAAACAGGAUUAGAUACCCUGGUAGUCCACGCUGUAAACGAUGGGCACUAGGUGUCGCGGGUAUUGACCCCUGCGGUGCCGUAGCAAACGCGUUAAGUGCCCCGCCUGGGGAGUACGGCCGCAAGGCUA